GUACUUGCUUUGCUGCACAUACACUAAAAUUGGAACAGUACAGACAAGAUUGCACAACAUGGCUUCUGUGCAAAGAUGAUAUGUAAGUUCAUGAAGCAUAAAAAGCAUCU
ensembl:snRNA U6 U6 spliceosomal RNA